rnacentral:rRNA from 1 species
AGCUAGUUGGUGAGGUAACGGCUCACCAAGGCGAUGAUGCGUAGCCGACCUGAGAGGGUAAUCGGCCACAUUGGGACUGAGACACGGCCCAGACUCCUACGGGAGGCAGCAGUAGGGAAUCUUCCACNAUGGACGCAAGUCUGAUGGAGCAACGCCGCGUGAGUGAAGAAGGGUUUCGGCUCGUAAAGCUCUGUUGUUAAAGAAGAACGUGGGUGAGAGUAACUGUUCACCCAGUGACGGUAUUUAACCAGAAAGCCACGGCUAANUACGUGCCAGCAGCCGCGGUAAUACGUAGGUGGCAAGCGUUAUCCGGAUUUAUUGGGCGUAAAGCGAGCGCAGGCGGUCUUUUAAGUCUAAUGUGAAAGCCUUCGGCUCAACCGAAGAAGUGCAUUGGAAACUGGGAGACUUGAGUGCAGAAGAGGACAGUGGAACUCCAUGUGUAGCGGUGAAAUGCGUAGAUAUAUGGAAGAACACCAGUGGCGAAGGCGGCUGUCUGGUCUGUAACUGACGCUNAGGCUCGAAAGCAUGGGUAGCGAACAGGAUUAGAUACCCUGGUAGUCCAUGCCGUAAACGAUGAUUACUAAGUGUUGGAGGGUUUCCGCCCUUCAGUGCUGCAGCUAACGCAUUAAGUAAUCCGCCUGGGGAGUACGACCGCAAGGUUGAAACUCAAAAGAAUUGACGGGGGCCCGCACAAGCGGUGGAGCAUGUGGUUUAAUUCGAAGCUACNCNAANAACCUUACCAGGUCUUGACAUCUUCUGCCAACCUAANAGAUUAGGCGUUCCCUUCGGGGAACAGAAUGACAGGUGGUUGCAUGGUUGUCGUCAGCUCGUGUUCCGUGAGAUGUUGGGUUAAGUCCCGCAACGAGCGCAACCCUUAUUAACUAGUUGCCCAGCAUUCAGUUGGGCACCUCUAGUGAGACUGCCGGUGACAAACCGGAGNAAGGUGGGGACAGACGUCAAAUCAUCAUGCCCCUUA